rnacentral:rRNA from 1 species
AUUGAACGCUGGCGGCAUGCCUUACACAUGCAAGUCGAACGGCAGCACGGGGGGCAACCCUGGUGGCGAGUGGCGAACGGGUGAGUAACAUAUCGGAACAUACCCUAGAGUGGGGGAUAACGUAGCGAAAGUUACGCUAAUACCGCAUACGAUCUAAGGAUGAAAGUGGGGGAUCUUCGGACCUCAUGCUCAUGGAGUGGCCGAUAUCUGAUUAGCUAGUUGGUGAGGUAAAGGCUCACCAAGGCGACGAUCAGUAGCUGGUUUGAGAGAACGACCAGCCACACUGGAACUGAGACACGGUCCAGACUCCUACGGAGGCAGCAGUGGGGAAUUUUGGACAAUGGGGGCAACCCUGAUCCAGCAAUGCCGCGUGAGUGAAGAAGGCCUCGGUUGUAAGACGUCUUUGUUCUAGGGAAGAAACGGUAGAGUUCGUAAUACAG